GGGCAUGUGGUGUAGUUGGUUAUCACGCUCGCUUAGCAUAGCCCAUUGUGCAGAUUUGCCUGUGCGAGAGGGGUCCGGUUCAAUCCCGGACAUGUCCA